rnacentral:ncRNA from 1 species
GUCCAGACGAAGAACAAGAGGAGUAACUAGCAAACUGUUUUUAGAGAGAAAAUCAUUGGGUGUAAGAUUUUCAGCAGUACCUAGUGAAGGUAGCUUGGGAGUUUUUGAUUUGAAUGCAAAGUAGAAUCAAACGAGUAGUGACCGUUAUUUCACUUUUGAGAGGUAGAAAAAUUCUACAAUUUAGGUGGUACCGCGUAAUUUUACGUCCUAAGA